AAAUCAAAAUAGUUUUUUUUUUGGGGCAAAAUAGGAUUAAAACUAGAUUAGCGUGAAAAAUUAUAACUAACUACAGAUAAUAUUUGGUUAGCCUUUAAUAUAAUUUUGCAAGUAAUGUUUCACACAGGUCGAUGUGUUCUCUUUCGGAAUCGUCUUGUGGGAAAUCCUUACAUUACAGGUGACUAGGUGAGGAACCCUACGCCAAUCUGCAUUACGGGGCAAUAAUCGGAGGCAUUGUGAACAAUACACUGAGACCAACCGUGCCAAGCUACUAUGAUCCAGAAUGGAGGGUUGCUGAUGGAGCAGUGUUGGGCUCCUGACCCAUUUGUUCGACCUUCCUUCCCAGAGAUAGCAAGACGUCUCCGUACCAUGUCCUCUGCGGUACAGACAAAAGCUCACGCCGCCAGCCACCAAAUCCACAAAGUAAUCCAUCAGUUUAUCAUUGCGGCUACAUAAAAAUAAAUGGUUUUUGUAUAUAUAUUUUCUUCUUCUUUCGGAUUCCAGAGUUUGAAGGUGUGAAAAUAUUGUGUUGGUUUGUACAAAAAAAAAAAAAAAACUAAAAGCACAUUAUUUUGUUAUCCAUUGUUUAUUAUUAUUGAGUGUAAGUAAAUUGGUUUUGGUACAAGUACUUGGACUCUUCUGUAGUAAGAGUCAUAUUUUUCUUUUUGAGCAAUUGUAUAAUCUUACUCUCCAUAUACAACAUGAUAGACAACAUUACAUUCAAAAAGGGAUAUACAUACAACACAUGCAAUAUCAUCCGUGCAUUAGUGCAUACACAUAUCUCAUAUCUUAUACAUAGAAGAUCUGACCAACAUUCAGAAGGCUCUCCUGAGGAACAUUGAAGAUAACACUAUGUUCUCUACAAAUCUUCCUCAAAAACGCAUACACAUAAUCAAUAGCUAUCUUCUUGUAGAACCU